CAGUAGCCGCGGGAAUACGGAGGGUGCAAGCGUUAAUCGGAAUUACUGGGCGUAAAGCGCACGCAGGCGGUCUGACAAGUCAGAUGUGAAAUCCCCGGGCUUAACCUGGGAACUGCAUUUGAAACUGUCAGGCUGGAGUCUUGUAGAGGGGGGUGGAAUUCCAGGUGUAGCGGUGAAAUGCGUAGAGAUCUGGAGGAAUACCGGUGGCGAAGGCGGCCCCCUGGACAAAGACUGACGCUCAGGUGCGAAAGCGUGGGGAGCAAACAGGAUUAGAUACCCCCGGUAGUCCCUGUCUCUUAUA
rnacentral:rRNA from 1 species